UACGAAGGGGGCUAGCGUUGUUCGGAAUUACUGGGCGUAAAGCGUACGUAGGCGGAUUGUUAAGUGAGGGGUGAAAUCCCGAGGCUCAACCUCGGAACUGCCUUUCAUACUGGCAAUCUUGAGUCCGGGAGAGGUGAGUGGAACUCCUAGUGGUAGAGGUGAAAUUCGUAGAUAUUAGGAGGAACACCAGUGGCGAAGGCGGCUCGCUGGACCGGUUCUGACGCUGAUGCGCGAAAGCGUGGGGAGCAAACAGG
rnacentral:rRNA from 1 species